GCCCCUUUAUUUGGGGGCCUAGUGCUAAUUCCCCCUUGCCCCCUCCUAUUGAAAUGUUCAGCUAAUGGUACAGGAUGUGGUGUUUGUCAUUCAAGGGAUCUGUUGUUCAGGUUUAGUGAAGAUGUGGUUACAUGUCCUAACUGCUCCUCACACUUUCACUGGUUAUAGCAAGUUCCUGUUAAAGGUUGGAGUACAUUAGGUAUGUGUCAAUAUAAUUAUAUUGUUCUCUGUUCUAGUGUGGGCAGCAAUGUAGUGCCGCCUCCACGUGACAC
rnacentral:lncRNA from 1 species